UACGUAGGGGGCUAGCGUUGUCCGGAUUUAUUGGGCGUAAAGAGCGUGUAGGCGGCCAGGUAGGUCUGCUGUGAAAACUCGAGGCUCAACCUCGAGACGUCGGCGGAAACCAUCUGGCUAGAGUCCGGAAGAGGAGAGUGGAAUUCCUGGUGUAGCGGUGAAAUGCGUAGAGAUCCGGAAGAACACCGGUGGCGAAGGCGGCCUGCUGGGCAGUGGCUGACGCUGAGGCGCGACAGCGUGGGGAGCAAACAGG
rnacentral:rRNA from 1 species